rnacentral:rRNA from 1 species
GCUAAUACAUGCAAGUCGAGCGAAUCAAUAGGAGCUUGCUCCUGUUGGUUAGCGGCGGACGGGUGAGUAACACGUGGGCAACCUGCCUGUAAGACUGGGAUAACUUCGGGAAACCGGAGCUAAUACCGGAUAAUCCUUUUCCUCUCAUGAGGAAAAGCUGAAAGUCGGUUUCGGCUGACACUUACAGAUGGGCCCGCGGCGCAUUAGCUAGUUGGUGAGGUAACGGCUCACCAAGGCGACGAUGCGUAGCCGACCUGAGAGGGUGAUCGGCCACACUGGGACUGAGACACGGCCCAGACUCCUACGGGAGGCAGCAGUAGGGAAUCUUCCGCAAUGGACGAAAGUCUGACGGAGCAACGCCGCGUGAGCGAUGAAGGCCUUCGGGUCGUAAAGCUCUGUUGUUAGGGAAGAACAAGUAUCGGAGUAACUGCCGGUACCUUGACGGUACCUAACCAGAAAGCCACGGCUAACUACGUGCCAGCAGCCGCGGUAAUACGUAGGUGGCAAGCGUUGUCCGGAAUUAUUGGGCGUAAAGCGCGCGCAGGCGGUCCUUUAAGUCUGAUGUGAAAGCCCACGGCUCAACCGUGGAGGGUCAUUGGAAACUGGGGGACUUGAGUGCAGAAGAGGAAAGCGGAAUUCCACGUGUAGCGGUGAAAUGCGUAGAGAUGUGGAGGAACACCAGUGGCGAAGGCGGCUUUCUGGUCUGUAACUGACGCUGAGGCGCGAAAGCGUGGGGAGCAAACAGGAUUAGAUACC